UGAUGAUGUCAGAGAAGUAGGACCUCCUUGCAUUCCUCAGUUGUAAAUUAUAAUUGUGAAGUUUCUCUUUAUAAAUGUCAUAAUGAACCUGGAGGUUUGUUUUUCUCCAUCUGCGCUCAGCUUUCCUACACUCUCUUUUUUCAUUUUUCACCAGUGUGGAGUUUCUCCAUGGAGACUUUUUCCUUCCAGAGAUAACCUUCACCUUAAUGGGAGCAAUAGUGUCCAUUACAUUUAACAUGUUAGCAUUGAAGCUAUUGACGAGCUCAUUGACUGACCCUCUGGACAAUUCAGGUGUUAAUAGGAAGACCUGGUUAAAAAUUGCACUACUGCGUUCAGUUAUACACCGUUUUGUGAUCACUGUUGUUGAUAUAUUUGUGUGGGCUGAGAUUUUACUUUCAAAGAAAACACAGUAAUGAUCAGACAGGCCCACAUCAGACACAGUAACCUUUGAAAUGCUCAGGCCUUUGGAGAUCAGUAGGUCAAGAGUGUGUCCUCUAUUAUGUGUGGCCUCUGUUACAUGCUGAGUCAGCCCAAAGUUGCCCAGAGUGUUACUCAGGUCUUUAGUCCCUUUGUCCUGAGGGUUGUCCACAUGAAUGUUAAAAUCCCCAACAAUAAUUACACAGUCAAAAUCAACACAGAUCACAGACAGCAGUUCACUGAGGUCAUUAAAAAAGUCUGUGCAGUAUUUGGGAGGCCUGUAAACAUUAAGAAACACAACUUUGGAUGUAGUAUUUGCAAUGUUGCAAUGCUGGUUCUGAGAGAUUGAUCUUGGAGGCUGCUGUUCUCUGCUCUUAGGUACACCAGCAUUGAUAUUGUGUGAUGCCUGUUUUCCUCAAUGCUCUUCUAGCAUUGCUCAAUUUCAGCUCAGGAUCUGCCCUUGUAUUGUUAUUCACUUGUAGCUGAAAGCACACCUUGGGAUCUUUGCAUGGAUCUUUGGAAAACAGGCCAUUUCUCGUCUUGGCUUCUGCUAUGGAAAUCUUGUUGCACUUUCUUAUUCAUCCAGGACCAGGUUUUUCAACCUGAAAAACAAGAAAAAGACUAGCACACCAUAAAAAACAACAACAAUAACAAAAAAUAAAAAAUAAAACAUCACAAACAGCAGUACAGAACCAGGAACAUGUGAUCUGUCAGCCUGAAAAGAGAUAGAGACACACAUGCACACACAAAAAAAGAUAUUCCCAGCAUCCAUGGGAUAGUACCAAGAAACUGAUAAAAGUCAUGUUUAAUUAAAGACUAGAUAAGGAGAAUAUAUUUGCGAUUUUUAAGGCUUUGUCGUUUUAUUUAGUAUUUUGUUUUCUUUACAAAAAAAAUUGAGGUGUGAAAUGUUCAUGUGUUAUACCCGGAUUUGAUUGUUAAUGACGUCCAUUGUUUUAAAGUACAGAGCCAAACAAGGCAAGAAUUCUUCAGAGAAGAGGCAGUCAGCUGUCUGCAGUAGCUUCAGCAAGGCUGAAGAGCGAUGAUUUUUUAUUAAAGGAAAGUUUAAAGGGCAAAACUUCUGUUAUGUUUGCAAUUCGUUUAAUUAAAUAUUUAAUUAAAUAAAGCUUUCAUGAAAUGUAAAACAUUUUCUGGCAGUGGUGUAAAUGCAUUUAUUCUAUUUUGAAUGCAGAGUGGUAUUACUAUGUUAAUUAUUUGUGCUGUGAGAUCCAAGUUUACAUAAUGAAGUGGCUGAAAAUCUGUGUCACCACCACCUGAAGUAUAUGUGUGAAUGUCUUUCUUGUCUCCUCUGUGUCUGCCUUUAGUGUUGCAAAUACUUCAUUAGCAUCAUGAAUUAAGCUGUGUUGCCAAAACACCAAUUACAUGAAUACAUAUUAACAUCAAAGUCAGUGGUGCAGAGGUAUCGGAGCCUGUCUGAGAACAAAUUAAUAAGCUGAGGGAUAAAAUGCUUUUUUACUUAAGGUCUGCUUUGAAGUACUUUGAUUAUAUACUGUGAGCCAUAUGAAUUAACCAUCUCAGAUUUUAAUACAGGUAUAUUUUUCUUCAUGAAACAAGAUGCGAUAAUUAGAAAUUCUGCUUUUUUUACCAACCAGACUGACAACAUUGUGACUCAAACGGUGAUAGUAUCAGCCUUCUACACCAACACAUAACUUUUAACACCUCUUUUUUCUUAGAGUUAUAGUCAUCUCUUGAGUGUUUGUAUGUGUACUCGUGCGGUUUUCAUCAGUAAUGAAAUUUACUGUAAUCAGAAAAAUAUAUAUUUCUAUGUAAUAAAAAAAACAC
ensembl:lncRNA